rnacentral:rRNA from 1 species
CCUACGGGGGGCUGCAGUGAGGAAUAUUGGUCAAUGGCCGCAGGGCUGAACCAGCCAAGUCGCGUGAGGGAUGACGGUCCUAUGGAUUGUAAACCUCUUUUGUCAGGGAGCAAAGGGCGCCACGUGUGGCGCUUUGCGAGUACCUGAAGAAAAAGCAUCGGCUAACUCCGUGCCAGCAGCCGCGGUAAUACGGAGGAUGCGAGCGUUAUCCGGAUUUAUUGGGUUUAAAGGGUGCGCAGGCGGCAUGUCAAGUCAGCGGUAAAAUUUCGGGGCUCAACCCCGUCGUGCCGUUGAAACUGGCGUUCUUGAGUGGGCGAGAAGUAUGCGGAAUGCGUGGUGUAGCGGUGAAAUGCAUAGAUAUCACGCAGAACUCCGAUUGCGAAGGCAGCAUACCGGCGCCCAACUGACGCUCAUGCACGAAAGCGUGGGUAUCGAACAGGAUUAGAUACCCCUGUAGUC